CCCCCCCUCCCUCGAUCGUCUUUUUUUAUUUUUAUUUUUCUCUGGUUUUUCUCGCAAACUCUCCAUUUUUUUUGACAAGCGUAUUCUUGUUCUAUUAGGGUUUAUGAAUCUCGAAUAAACUCUUCAAUCUUUUGCAUUAUUCAGUUUGAUUAGUGGUUCGCUCAUGAAACAUAGGGUUGAUGUUUGGAGACUUGCUGGCUGAUGGCUGACAGUAGAAGAUACAUUCCCAAUCAACAAUUGGACCUUCAACAGAUACUGCAAGACGCACAGAGCCGUUGGCUUCGACCGGCUGAAAUUUGUGAAAUACUUCGUAACUAUCGGAGGUUUGACUUAACGCCAGAUCCACCUGUUAAGCCUUCAGCUGGUUCAUUGUUCUUGUUUGAUCGAAAAGCACUUCGCUAUUUUCGUAAAGAUGGCCAUCGGUGGAGGAA